rnacentral:lncRNA from 1 species
UUUGCUUGGUUAAUGCUUUGUGAUAGUUAUUUGUGAAGAGAUUUGACGAAAGCAUGCUAAACUUGUUAUGUUUGAGUGAGUUAAGCUUACCCAUUCAGUUUUAGGGUUUUUAUGAUGAUGCUUUUGAUGUUGGUGUGCUGAAAUUGCUUAUGGAAAACUGCUAGGGAUGAAGGGUAGAGUUAACCUAGGGUUAGAAAGUGAGAAUAUGGUGUUAUGAGUGGAAAAAGAGUGAGUUUUUGAGAGUUGGAAGGCCAAAUCUGGAUUUAGUGGUAUUUGGAGGUUAAAGUGAGUUAAUCCUAGUUUGAAAUGUCAUUUAGGACUUAUGAGGAAGCUUGGGCUGUGCAAGAGAGAAAAACAAAUGACCAAAGUGAACAAAGAGCCAUUUCUAGGGUAAAAUUGGGUGUUGAGGAGUCAAAUUUUGGUUCGGUGGAAUUUUAGGUGUAAAUCCAAUUUGAACAAGUUUAAAUUGAUGUUAUAGACUUGUGUGAGGUGAGAGUUUGCUCCAAAUUUACCCCAUUCUCAAUUUCACUUCUCAAACCUUGAAAAUCCAUUAAAUUGAGGGGUUUUGGAUACCUAGAUUUUGUGUUGCUUUAGUCUGAAGCUUGUCCUUGGUUUAGACAUGAUUGAUACAUGAUUUGGGACUUGUAGGAUUCGAUUUGGGCAAAAUUGGAUGAAGGCAAGAGUGGUUUUCGAAAUCUGCACUUUAUGCAGAAUUUUGCUGUUGAAAUGUGCAGCAGAAUUUUGUAUAAGUGCAGAAAAAUGCUUGUGUAUGGCUGGUUGUGAAAAG